rnacentral:rRNA from 1 species
GUGUCAGCCGCCGCGGUAAUACGAAGGGGGCUAGCGUUGUUCGGAAUUACUGGGCGUAAAGCGCACGUAGGCGGAUAUUUAAGUCAGGGGUGAAAUCCCGCAGCUCAACUGCGGAACUGCCUUUGAUACUGGGUAUCUUGAGUAUGGAAGAGGUUAGUGGAAUUGCGAGUGUAGAGGUGAAAUUCGUAGAUAUUCGCAGGAACACCAGUGGCGAAGGCGGCUAACUGGUCCAUAACUGACGCUGAGGUGCGAAAGCGUGGGGAGCAAACAGGAUUAGAAACCCCUGUAGUCC